CCCAAGCCUUGGCUAGGCGCGCGCGCGCACGGGGUCGGGCGCUCCCGGGCGGCGGUGGCACCACGUAGCCGCCUCCUUCCACCGCUCGCUUUAUCCCCGCCCCUUCUCGGGCCAACCCCAAGCGCCGCUGACCCCGAACGUCGCUGCGGGGUAGGUAGGGGGUGGGAGGGUGGAGGACCGCAGGCGAGAGGGAGAAGGAAGGGCGCCCGGGGAGCAGGCUGGCAGAGUGACCGGGAUUGAUGAGCGGCGCAGCUCUGGAGGGACGCGGGCGAGAGGGUCGCUCCUCGGGGAGAGGGCUGGGUGAGUGAGGACCUGCGAGCCACCCCCGACACCCCUUCCAGGGUAGCCACACUGGCGCCCCCUCCUCCACAACAGGCUUAUGUGGCUAGAGAAGAUGCGAUGCCACUGGACAGGGAAGGAAAGUCGUCGUGGACUUCGCUGAAUGGAAAAGGGGGUAGUUGGGGAAGGUGGAGAAAAGAGCCACGGGAAGUGGGAGGAAAGGAUGAAGGGAUGGGACGUUGAAAAGGAAAGCUUCCUGAAUCCCUGUGUGACUCUAACCCAACCUCCCCACCUACCGGAGAAAUGGGUUUUAUCCUAGAAAUGGGGACGAGGAAAAAGAGAUGGCUCAAGGGAGUCCUGGCCCGGGAUGCGAUCCUCGCCCUAGGGUCUAUUGCAACCACACAAACCCGGACAGCGCACGCUCCCCCCUACCCCGACAGAAUAGUGCCUAAGAAACCUGCUUGCCUCCUAACUCUAGGAAGGAAUCCACAACGGAUUCCAGGGAGGUCUUCUGGGGAAUCUGAAUUGGGUUUUUGGAUCACGAACCAUUAAGCUUUUGAACUCUGGGGAAGAAUAGAACAGGUGGCUGGAAAUUGUUUUAGAACCCUACCUGAGCAGGUGUGCUCAUUAGUUGCUUAUCCGCCCUCCUCCUGGAGCACUUUCAUAGGUGUUGGCAAAGCAGGUACCAGUAUUUCACGGAAGGAGAAGGAAGAACCGCCCAGGACUGUGUAUAAAUGUCUAUGGGAAUAUUUUUAAGGAUUCAAAAGGCUAGAAGGAGGUGAGAUCAAAAAAUUUUUCCAGCACCACCCAGUGCAACCCGAUCCUGGACACAGAAAUCUAAAAGAUGAUACUUAAAUACUUGAGUUUGAGAGCCUCUAGUUAUAAGGUUUCCUACGUAACAACCUCUCACUUUUCUCAAAAACUGGCUAGUUGACAACCGGCAGUCAAGUUUUGGCUAGUCAAGAAGCUACUUUUUCCUGCAAUAAACCACAUUUAGAGAUAGUACUGGGCUUCAGCAGGAUUGAGGCUAUAUUGAGGUCGCAAGUAUGAACGAGGUACCCACAGAGAUGGGAGGGCCAGGAGAUCCUACUCAUUCAGUACCUCAGAAGCUAUGACACGGGAUAACAGUAGCUUCAGCCCUUUGGAUGAAAUAAUCCUCACUCCCUCAAAAGUGCUCUCUACCCACUCAAAACACAGGCCAUACUACCACCAAUCUGGUAGACUUCAAAAGUAAGGUCUUUCAGCAGCAGAUUUCCUUGUUAACAGGAAGGUACUGACAAGCUUUACCUAAGCCUAUUGGAGCUAUGUUGUAAUUCUGUAUAUAAAUAGAACAGUCGCUGCAGGAAUACUGGAUGAGUCAGAAGAAAGGUCUGUCCUAAGCUGAUGUGACACAUUUCAAAAGGACCAGAAAUUAGAUGCAAUUGAUGACUGAGUUGAUCUCUAAGUGGAUUUAUCUUUGAAAUAAAAAUCAGUGGAUAUCCCAUAUACCCGACCCCACACCCUCCCCCAUUGUCAACAUCCCCAACCAAAGUAGCACAUUUGCUACAAAUAGUGAACCUACAUUGCCAGAUCAUUAUCACCCAAAGUCCAUAGUUUACAUUAGGGUUCACUCUUGGGGCUGUAUAUUCUAUAGGGUUGGACAAAUAUAGAAUAACAUGAACCCACCCUCAUAGUAUCAUAGUAUCAUACAGAGUAUUUUCACUGCCCUAAAAGUCCUCUGUACACCACCUAUUUAUCCCUUCCUCCCCCCAGUCUCUGGCAGCCACUGAAGUUUGACUGUAUCCCUGUCUCCUUAGUUUUGCCUUUUCCGGAAUGCCAUAUAUAAGGAAUCAUACAGUAUGCAGUCUUUCUUUCAAUUUUGCUGUGAAACUAAAACUGCUAAGAAAAUAAAGUCUUAAAAAGAAAAAUCAAUGGAGAAGGGAAAGCUCUACCACCCUCUGAUUUUUUUUAACAGCCUAUGAUAAGAGGAGAUGAAUGCCUGCUAAAGCGACCAGAAGGCUCUCAGUAAAAAGUAUUCACUAGGUAUCAAUAGAAUCUGCAAAACGAAGAGGUGCUUGAAAGAUGUGAAAGAGGAAACUUAAAGAGAAACCCAGAUGGUACAUCUCUCUUCCUGGCUAGAUAGAUGGAAUGUACAGCCAGAGGAUUGGAUGAGGUCAUCGACGGAGAGAAUGCAGAGAGAAUCCUGGGGCUCACCAACAUGAAGAAUUUGGGACAAGAAAGAAGAUCCAGCAGAGAAGACUGAAAGAAGGCAACUAAUGAAAUAGGAGAGAACCUGGAGAGCACAGAGUCUUAGAGGCCAAGAAAGUGGUUUAAUAUAAUCCGUAUCAAAGCAUUUGUGGUUUAUUUUUGUUAACUGACAAAAGGAUUCUAAAACAUACCUGAAAAGUAUAAUUCACACCUAGGAUAAUGGAUCAUUCUGUCACAUUGUUCCUUUUUCACAGCUGAUAUGAACAUGAUAUUUUCAUGACUUUGUAAAAUAAAAAUGGAAUCUUUCUAAUUUUUUUAAAAAAACUGCUUACUUAUGCAAGCCUUCUGUCUCUCACUGUAUAACCCCUCCACUUUUAUACGGGUCACACAUGUUUCUGUCACUUUCCUGGAGCCCUUGUAGCAAAUUAAUAACAUGUAGCACAUGCUUGAAGAAAAAUUUGUCUAGGACAUUUUGUUUUUGAGAUUCAUAAAUUGACUCUAUUUUACAUAAGAAUCUAUUAUGCCAUAGGAAGCUUAUUAAACCCUUGAGCAGGAACAAAUUAUUCAAUAAAUGGUGAUGAGAUGAAUGCCU
rnacentral:lncRNA from 1 species